UACGUAGGGUGCAAGCGUUGUCCGGAAUUAUUGGGCGUAAAGAGCUCGUAGGCGGUCUGUCGCGUCGGCUGUGAAAACCCGGAGCUCAACUCCGGGCCUGCAGUCGAUACGGGCAAACUGGAGUACUGCAGGGGAGACUGGAAUUCCUGGUGUAGCGGUGAAAUGCGCAGAUAUCAGGAGGAACACCGGUGGCGAAGGCGGGGUCUC
rnacentral:rRNA from 1 species